CCAGACUCCUACGGGAGGCAGCAGUGGGGGAUAUUGGACAAUGGGGGAAACCCUGAUCCAGCGACGCCGCGUGAGUGAAGAAGUAUUUCGGUAUGUAAAGCUCUAUCAGCAGGGAAGAAAGAAAUGACGGUACCUGAGUAAGAAGCCCCGGCUAACUCCGUGCCAGCAGCCGCGGUAAUACGGAGGAUGCGAGCGUUAUCCGGAUUUAUUGGGUUUAAAGGGUGCGCAGGCGGCACGGCAAGCCGGCGGUCAAAUCGCGGGGCUCAACCCCGCCCAGCCGUCGGAACUGCCGGGCUAGAGUGGGCGAGAAGUGCGCGGAAUGCGUGGUGUAGCGGUGAAAUGCAUAGAUAUCGCGCAGAACUCCGAUUGCGAAGGCAGCAUGCCGGCUCCACACUGACGCUGAGGCACGAAAGCGUGGGUAUCGAACAGGAUUAGAUACCCCUGUAA
rnacentral:rRNA from 1 species